GAUGAACGCUGGCGGCGUGCCUAAUACAUGCAAGUCGAGCGAACGGACGAGAAGCUUGCUUCUCUGAUGUUAGCGGCGGACGGGUGAGUAACACGUGGAUAACCUACCUAUAAGACUGGGAUAACUUCGGGAAACCGGCGCUAAUACCGGAUAAUAUUUUGAACCGCAUGGUUCAAAAGUGAAAGACGGUCUUGCUGUCACUUCUAGCUGGAUCCGCGCUGCAUUAGCUAGUUGGUAAGGUAACGGCUUACCAAGGCAACGAUGCAUAGCCGACCUGAGAGAGUGAUAGGCCACACUGGAGCUGGGACACGGUCCAGGCUCCUACGAGAGGCAGCAGUAGGGAAUCUUCCGCAAUGGGCGAAAGCCUGACAGAGCGACGCCGCGUGAGUGAUAAAGGUCUUCGGUGCGGAAAACUCUGUUAUUAGGGAAGAACAUAUGUGGAAGUAACUGUGCACAGCUUGACGGUACCUAAUCAGAAAGCCACGGCUAACUACGUG
rnacentral:rRNA from 1 species